rnacentral:rRNA from 1 species
GGUGAAAAGCACCCCGGAAGGGGAGUGAAAUAGAACCUGAAACCGUGUGCUUACAAGUAGUCAGAGCCCGUUAAUGGGUGAUGGCGUGCCUUUUGUAGAAUGAACCGGCGAGUUACGAUUUGAUGCAAGGUUAAGCAGUAAAUGUGGAGCCGUAGCGAAAGCGAGUCUGAAUAGGGCGUUUAGUAUUUGGUCGUAGACCCGAAACCAGGUGAUCUACCCUUGGUCAGGUUGAAGUUCAGGUAACACUGAAUGGAGGACCGAACCGACUUACGUUGAAAAGUGAGCGGAUGAACUGAGGGUAGCGGAGAAAUUCCAAUCGAACCUGGAGAUAGCUGGUUCUCUCCGAAAUAGCUUUAGGGCUAGCCUCAAGUGAUGAUUAUUGGAGGUAGAGCACUGUUUGGACGAGGGGCCCCUCUCGGGUUACCGAAUUCAGACAAACUCCGAAUGCCAAUUAAUUUAACUUGGGAGUCAGAACAUGGGUGAUAAGGUCCGUGUUCGAAAGGGAAACAGCCCAGACCACCAGCUAAGGUCCCAAAAUAUAUGUUAAGUGGAAAAGGAUGUGGCGUUGCCCAGACAACUAGGAUGUUGGCUUAGAAGCAGCCAUCAUUUAAAGAGUGCGUAAUAGCUCACUAGUCGAGUGACACUGCGCCGAAAAUGUACCGGGGCUAAACAUAUUACCGAAGCUGUGGAUUGUCCUUUGGACAAUGGUAGGAGAGCGUUCUAAGGGCGUUGAAGCAUGAUCGUAAGGACAUGUGGAGCGCUUAGAAGUGAGAAUGCCGGUGUGAGUAGCGAAAGACGGGUGAGAAUCCCGUCCACCGAUUGACUAAGGUUUCCAGAGGAAGGCUCGUCCGCUCUGGGUUAGUCGGGUCCUAAGCUGAGGCCGACAGGCGUAGGCGAUGGAUAACAGGUUGAUAUUCCUGUACCACCUAUAAUCGUUUUAAUCGAUGGGGGGACGCAGUAGGAUAGGCGAAGCGUGCGAUUGGAUUGCACGUCUAAGCAGUAAGGCUGAGUAUUAGGCAAAUCCGGUACUCAUUAAGGCUGAGCUGUGAUGGGGAGAAGACAUUGUGUCUUCGAGUCGUUGAUUUCACACUGCCGAGAAAAGCCUCUAGAUAGAAAAUAGGUGCCCGUACCGCAAACCGACACAGGUAGUCAAGAUGAGAAUUCUAAGGUGAGCGAGCGAACUCUCGUUAAGGAACUCGGCAAAAUGACCCCGUAACUUCGGGAGAAGGGGUGCUCUUUAGGGUUAACGCCCAGAAGAGCCGCAGUGAAUAGGCCCAAGCGACUGUUUAUCAAAAACACAGGUCUCUGCUAAACCGUAAGGUGAUGUAUAGGGGCUGACGCCUGCCCGGUGCUGGAAGGUUAAGAGGAGUGGUUAGCUUCUGCGAAGCUACGAAUCGAAGCCCCAGUAAACGGCGGCCGUAACUAUAACGGUCCUAAGGUAGCGAAAUUCCUUGUCGGGUAAGUUCCGACCCGCACGAAAGGCGUAACGAUUUGGGCACUGUCUCAACGAGAGACUCGGUGAAAUCAUAGUACCUGUGAAGAUGCAGGUUACCCGCGACAGGACGGAAAGACCCCGUGGAGCUUUACUGUAGCCUGAUAUUGAAAUUCGGCACAGCUUGUACAGGAUAGGUAGGAGCCUUUGAAACGUGAGCGCUAGCUUACGUGGAGGCGCUGGUGGGAUACUACCCUAGCUGUGUUGGCUUUCUAACCCGCACCACUUAUCGUGGUGGGAGACAGUGUCAGGCGGGCAGUUUGACUGGGGCGGUCGCCUCCUAAAAGGUAACGGAGGCGCUCAAAGGUUCCCUCAGAAUGGUUGGAAAUCAUUCAUAGAGUGUAAAGGCAUAAGGGAGCUUGACUGCGAGACCUACAAGUCGAGCAGGGUCGAAAGACGGACUUAGUGAUCCGGUGGUUCCGCAUGGAAGGGCCAUCGCUCAACGGAUAAAAGCUACCCCGGGGAUAACAGGCUUAUCUCCCCCAAGAGUUCACAUCGACGGGGAGGUUUGGCACCUCGAUGUCGGCUCAUCGCAUCCUGGGGCUGUAGUCGGUCCCAAGGGUUGGGCUGUUCGCCCAUUAAAGCGGUACGCGAGCUGGGUUCAGAACGUCGUGAGACAGUUCGGUCCCUAUCCGUCGUGGGCGUAGGAAAUUUGAGAGGAGCUGUCCUUAGUACGAGAGGACCGGGAUGGACAUACCUCUGGUGUACCAGUUGUCGUGCCAACGGCAUAGCUGGGUAGCUAUGUGUGGACGGGAUAAGUGCUGAAAGCAUCUAAGCAUGAAGCCCCCCUCAAGAU